rnacentral:rRNA from 1 species
UACAGAGAGUGCAAGCGUUGUCCGGAAUCACUGGGCGUAAAGGGCGCGUAGGCGGCCUGAUAAGUCGGGGGUGAAAUUCUGCGGCUUAACCGCAGGACGGCCUUCGAGACUGUCGGGCUUGAGCACGGUAGAGGCUGGUGGAAUUCCCGGUGUAGCGGUGAAAUGCGUAGAUAUCUGGAGGAACACCGGUGGCGAAGGCGGCAUCCUGGACCGGUAUUGACGCUGAGGCGCGAAAGCUAGGGGAGCAAACGGG